UACGAAGGGGGCUAGCGUUGUUCGGAAUUACUGGGCGUAAAGCGCACGUAGGCGGAAUGUUAAGUCAGGGGUGAAAUCCCGGGGCUCAACCCCGGAACUGCCUUUGAUACUGGCAUUCUCGAGUCCGGAAGAGGUGAGUGGAAUUCCGAGUGUAGAGGUGAAAUUCGUAGAUAUUCGGAGGAACACCAGUGGCGAAGGCGGCUCACUGGUCCGGUACUGACGCUGAGGUGCGAAAGCCAGGGGAGCGAACGGG
rnacentral:rRNA from 1 species